rnacentral:rRNA from 1 species
GAUGAACGCUGGCGGCGUGUCUAAGGCAUGCAAGUCGAACGGGUUUAGACCCGUGGCAAACGGGAGAGUAACACAUUGGUAACUUACCCUGGAGAUGAGGAUAAUACACCGAAAGGUGUAAUAAUACUCAAUGGUCGUGGGGGGACAUAUGUCAUUCCCACGUAAAGUUUUUCGCUCCAGGAGAGGCCUACGUCCUAUCAGCUUGUUGGUGAGGGUAAAAGCCCACCAAGGCUAUGACGGGUACCGGGUGUGAGAGCAUGACCCGGCUCACUGGGACUGAGACACUGCCCAGACUCCUACGGGAGGCUGCAGUCAAGAAUCUUCCCCAAUGCACGAAAGUGUGAGGGAGCGACGCCGCGUGUAUGAAGACGCCCUUCGGGGUGUAAAGUACUUUUUUGUGGGACGAAUUUCUGACGGUACCACAAGAAUAAGGGGCUGCUAACCUCG